UAGCUGUUAAAAAUUUUGUAAAAAGAAAAUGUAUAAGCAUUAAUAGUAGUACUUUCUCAUUCUUUCCUCAGAAGAUUCCAAGCACCAACUUUAGGACACAGUUAUUAAUAUCCAAGGAAAUAACUUUUUGUUCCUCAUCAAAAACAACGUUUCACAUCCAGACCAAAUAAAAAUGUUAACUCUCAAAAGUAUUUUGCCAAAACUUCAAAAUAAGAAAUUUUGAAAUCUAUGCCUUCCAAACAAUGAACGUUUAGAUUCUACUUCAGGAUAGGGAAGACUGAAGACAGCAUCAGAAAUUAGCAUACACAUCUUUUCUUCAAGAGUCUUUUAAAUGGAUACCUUAAUAAGUAUCUCAACUCUAAUUUUUUGCCAAGGGCAUUUUUUUAGGACGUACAACUGAAAAUUUUCAAUGGGGGUGGAAAGACAAGCUCAUUAACAAUUUACAAAAAGCUAUAAUAAUAAAGCUACUAGAACGCAGUAUAUCUGAUGAAACUAUA